UCGUAACAAGGUCUCCGUUGGUGAACCAGCGGAGGGAUCAUUACAGAGUUGAAAGACUCCCAAACCAAUGUGAACUUACCCGUGACGUUGCUUCGGCGGGCGGCUCCAGGGGGAGCCGUCGCCCCCCGCGAGGGUGGUGCCCGCCGGAGGACCCCAAACCAUACUUGAAUCAGUGGCCCAUCUGAGACAGCUUCAAUAAUCAAAACUUUCAACAACGGAUCUCUUGGUUCUGGCAUCGAUGAAGAACGCAGCGAAAUGCGAUAAGUAAUGUGAAUUGCAGACUUCAGUGAAUCAUCGAAUCUUUGAACGCACAUUGCGCCCGCCAGCAUUCUGGCGGGCAUGCCUGUCCGAGCGUCAUUUCAACCCUCAAGCCCAGCUUGGUGUUGGGGCACCACGGCCCGGCCGUGGGCCCCGAAAUUUAGUGGCGGGCCCUCUGGGAGUCCGGGCGUAGUAGCGAUAUGUCGCCCGCGGCCCCCCGGAGGCGCUCCUGCCGUUAAACCCCCCAAAUCACAGAAGGUUGACCUCGGAUCAGGUAGGACUACCCGCUGAACCUAAGCAUAUCU
rnacentral:misc_RNA from 1 species